AGACUAAUGUUGCCUGCACUUUACAGAUAGAGAAAUCAAUUUGCUUCAAUGCGAUUCAUGUCUCAACUUAAGCAUGGUUUAAGAUACAUCUUCUGAGAUACAAAUGCAUUUAAGAAACAUUCUCCUUGGCGUACACUGACCAUAAGAUGAGUGGUUUUCUAAAGUCUGCAUUAUUUGUAAAGAAACUUUUUCUGGUUUUUAUUAUUUUUAAUAGAUAUAUGACAUAUACCUAUGUUUAUCUCACAGAAAUAAUAUUGGAUACAUAAUAGGAAGUUUUCUCCUUUUUGCUCAAAGCAAUACCUAUAAACUGUUUAGAUGGCGGACAUUCAUGCCAGUCCGCUCCGUGUUUGCCUGGUGCCUUUCCUGGAAUCAGAGCCUCCAGCUGGAAUAUUAAACAAUGCCAUAGCUG
rnacentral:lncRNA from 1 species